rnacentral:rRNA from 1 species
GCUUUGGAAUUCCCGGAGUAGCGCUUACAAUGCGCAGAUAUCGGGAGGUACACCGCUGCCGAAAUCGGCACCCUGGGGUGCACACUGACGCUGAGAGACGACAGCUAUGGGGAGCGUACAGGAUUAGAGACCCUGGUAGUCCUAGCCGUAUACGAUGGAUGCUAGGUGUGGGAGUGAAGAACUUCUGUGCCGCAGCGAACGCGAUAAGCAUCCCGCAUGGGGAGUACGGCCGCAAGCUUCAAACUCAAACGAGCUGACGGGGACCCGCACAAGCAGCGGAGCGUGUGCUCUAAUUCGAUGCUACACGAAGAACCUUACCUGGGAUUGACAUAUGGGUGCUAGUGAGCCGAAAGGCAAGCGACCCUUCGGGGAGCCUAUACAGGUGCUCGCAUGGCUGUCGUCAGCUCGUGCCGUGAGGUGUCGGGUUAAGUCCUGUAACGAGCGCAACCCCUGUCUUUAGUUACAAGUGUUUAAGGGGACUGCCGGCGGGAAGCCGGAGGAAGGUGUGGAUGACGUCUAGUCAGCAUGGCCCUUAUAUCCAGGGCGACACACACGUUACAAUGGUCGGCUACAGAGGGCAGCGAAGCCGCGAGGUGGAGCGAAACCCAGAAACCCGGUCGUAGUUCGGAUUGCAGGUCUGCAACUCGCAGUGCAUGAAGUUGGAGUUGAUAGUAACACGCAGGUCAGCCAUAAUGCGGUGUAUACGUUCCCGGG